rnacentral:rRNA from 1 species
AAAUUAUGUGAGAAUCAUAAUGGCCGAAAAUCUAAGGUUUCUUGGGGAAGGUUCGUCCGCCCAAGGUAAGCCGGGAGCUAAGGCGAGGCCGCAAGGCGUAGUCGAUGCACAUACGGUUGAAAUUCCGUAGCCACCUUAUCGUUUAAAAGCUGACACAUGGAGAUAGCGGAACCCGGGCGUUGGUUGACCCGGGCGUAAGGGACCGAAAUCAAGUAGGGAAGUCUGCGAUGCUCUGUGGCGAGAAAAGGCGAAGAUAAGGUGCCCGUACCGCAAACUGACACAGGUAGAUGAGGAGAGAAUCCUAAGGCCAACGGGAGAAAGGUUGUUAAGGAACUCGGCAAAAUUGCCCCGUAACUUCGGGAGAAGGGGCGCCUCCGAAAGGAGGCCGCAGUGAAAAGGUCCAAGCGACUGUUUACCAAAAACACAGGUCUCUGCUAAAUCGAAAGAUGACGUAUAGGGGCUGACGCCUGCCCGGUGCUGGAAGGUUAAGAGGAGAGCUUAGCGCAAGCGAAGGCUUGAAUUUAAGCCCCAGUAAACGGCGGCCGUAACAAUAACGGUCCUAAGGUAGCGAAAUUCCUUGUCAGGUAAGUUCUGACCCGCACGAAUGGCGUAACGAUUUGGGCGCUAUCUCAACAGCCUACCCGGCGAAAUUGUAGUACCGGUGAAGAUGCCGGUUACCCGCAACUAGACGGAAAGACCCCAUGGAGCUUUACUGCAGCUUAAUACUGAGAUUCGGUAAUUCAUGUACAGGAUAGGUGGGAGACUUGGAAACAGGGGCGUCAGCUUCUGCGGAGUCACCCUUGGGAUACCACCCUUGGAUUGCUGGGUUUCUAACCUGCGGCCAUGAAUCUGGUCGGGGGACACUGUUAGGCGGGCAGUUUGACUGGGACGGUCGCCUCCUAAAAAGUAGCGGAGGCGCUCAAAGCUUGGCUCAGCAUGGAUGGAAAUCAUGCAAUGAGUGUAAACGUAUAAGCCAAGUUGACUGCGAGACCGACGGGUCGAGCAGGGACGAAAGUCGGAGUUAGUGAUCCGGUGGUAUGUGAGUGGAAAUGCCAUCGCUCAACGGAUAAAAGCUACCCUGGGAUAACAGGCUGAUCUCCCCCAAGCGUCCACAGCGACGGGGAGGUUUGGCACCUCGAUGUCGGCUCGUCGCAUCCUGGGGCUGUAUUCGGUCCCAAGGGUUUGGCUGUUCGCCAAUUAAAGCGGCACGCGAGCUGGGUUCAGAACGUCGUGAGACAGUUCGGUCCCUAUCUGUUGCGGGCGUAAGAGAUUUGAAGGGAGCUGUCCUUAGUACGAGAGGACCGGGAUGGACUGACCUCUGGUGCACCAGUUGUUCUGCCAAGGGCAUAGCUGGGUAGCUACGUCGGGACGAGAUAAACGCUGAAGGCAUCUAAGCGUGAAACUCCCCCUAAGAUAAGAUCUCUCAUCCUGAAAAGGAGUAAGGCUCGUCGUAGACUAUGACGUUGAUAGGUCAGGGGUGGAAGCACAGUAAUGUGUGUAGCUGACUGAUACUAAUAAGCCGAGGGCUUGAUC